UCGGUGUAAGGUCAGGGCCUCACUUAAGGCUGACACACAAGGGAGCAGAAGCCAAGGCUGGAGGGAGCUGGGUGUGCAGACCAAGGCGGGGGGUCUGAGAGGCCUGGAGGCCCCUCAAGUGAGGGGUGCUGCUCUCAGCUGCUUCCAGAUGCUAUCCUCCAGCAUCAGCACUGACCUGACCUUAGACUUUCCUUUUCCCAUGAUAAUGACAACCAGUGUGAGCCGACACAGAGCCCAGCAUGGAGGGGACACAAAGUGAAACAAAGGUUGGCUAGGGUCAGUGCUGGGGGGGUGGGUAGGACCAGACCCACAGAGGCCAGUCACAGGGUGCCCUUGGCCAGGCUGGAGGACACUGACCUGACUUAUGUCCACCCUCCCCACCGUGGACCCCUCUUCUGCAGCCUGGCCUGUCUGUACCAUAGCCUCGUCUCUCCAGGGAGGAGGGCACCACUGACCAUCUCUGUUUGCCACAGAAUUAAGAGGAUGAGGACUGUUUUUGCCAGGGCUGUCUCCAGUAUUGGCUGGAGAAGAAGAAAACUUCCUUCUCGAGAAGCCGACAGCCACCAGCCAGGGCAGAGCCUGCCUGCCAGCAGCCUGCAGGGCCCCCCCCCAUGCCUGAGGGCUUUCUAGACCCUGCAGCUCCUCUUUGGGGGCUGUCUUCCCCCCAGCCUCUGGGGUCCCCAUCACCCUCUGCAAAUUGUGCUUCGUCUCUUACCACUUGUGACUCCACGUUCCCUCCCCCGGGUCUGUGCUCCACGGUCCCCAUGCCCGCGGGCCACCCUUUCCUCUGCCCAGUGAGCUCCUCACCAUCCUGCCAGGCUCCUGGGGAGACCUUCGGACUCACAUCAGCAGGCAGCAGGGAGCAGGGGGAGGGUGUGGGCCCAGGAGAGGGAGGCGAUAGGAGUCAGAACCACCCCUGCUGGCCCCUCACGUGAUGACUCUUGGGGGGUGCUGGUCUGCCCCCUCCCUGUCGGGCCCCCACACCAGAGAGACCACCUCUGCUCUCCCCCCGGGCUGGGCCCACCCAGAGUUCCAAGGCCCGGGACCUGCUCCUCACACGGCCUCUGGCUCUCUGCUCGGCCGCAGUUUUUCCAUGGCCCCGGCAGCGAGUCAUGCCAUGGGCGCCGAAAGCCUCCAUGACCUUCAAGUGAACGUUCACAUCUUAGCCCGAGACGUCCCAUUAUCUUCACUCUUUUAGCUUCACAUACUUUUCAGGGGUUGCUUGCCCUGGUGCCUCCCUCGUGUCCUACUGGGCUGUCCUCGUUUUCUCCAUCUGUAAAACAGGCAAGUGCUGAUGCCCCCUGCCAGGCUCCAUGCGGGACUCACUUCGAGGACUCACCCAGGCCUGGUCUCACGUACCUCAGGGUUAUCGCUUUCUGAGCUCUGACCUCACCAAUCAGAGGGCUGGAACCCACCACCUUCAAAUGGAAACGGACCUUGGGGUUUGGACACUCAGGGCCAGUGCAGUCGAGGGCCCCCCUAGGGUCACCCAGCUGCCGGGCAGAGGGACGACACAAUCAAGCUUCCUGCUGGAGGCCGUUCGGCAUAAGACAGACGGUCCUUGUCUCCCUGAAAUGAACAUCUCUGGUCGGCGUGACGAAUCUGGAGGCCAGAUGAGACUGUCACUGCAGCUGGAUCUGUGUGUCCGCCUCCCUGUCCUGUCCGUGUCCCAGCCCCAUCACUGUACAUCCAGGCCCCCCCCACAGCGAAGUCUCGGUCCCCACCUGCCCCUCCGGCCAGCCUUAGCAUGUGGGGGUCGGGGCUAAAACAGAAGCCUGAACCCCGAGUCAGGGUCAUUUUUUUUUUAAAAUUUUUUUUUUCAACGUUUAUUUAUUUUUCUGGGGACAGAGAGAGACAGAGCAUGAACGGGGGAGGGGCAGAGAGAGAGGGAGACACAGAAUCGGAAACAGGCUCCAGACUCUGAGCCAUCAGCCCAGAGCCCAACGCGGGGCUCGAACUCACAGACCGCGAGAUCGUGACCUGACUGAAGUCGGACGCUUAACCGACUACGCCACCCAGGCGCCCCAGGGUCAUUUGUUUCCAUGCCUUCCUGGUGCAGCAGAGCACGAGUCCCACAGCAGAACCGUGUCUCUUUCUGCCUGUGGGUCCUCAGCAGCUGGUGCAGACGUCCUUUGAGGCAGGUGUGGACGAGUGAAUGAAUGAGUGUGUGAAUGAGUGAAUGAUCAUCAAGAGACCUGAGAUCCUUCUGGUCUCAAGUGGCCAGGAAAGCAUCAUCAAACAGCCCAACGUGAGAGCAGGUGGGAAGUUGUAGGAACCGUACAGAUUCACCGGAAAUGUGAGUGUGAGGGAGCCGGGACCUGAAGGGAGACUCGGAACAGAGUCCUGGCUUCCUGAGACAGGAGGGUCGUUGUGGAGGCCCCGGAGCUGCCCCAUCCCAGGAGGAGGCAGCGCCCCUGAGCGAGCAGCCCGGAGCCAGGCCUUCGUGGAGAAAGAAGGUGCUCCGGGCCCCGAGACCCCAGCAGAGGUGCCCCGGGAAAGUGUCCCAUUCCCGCGUCCGCUGUCUCGCUCGUGCCACCGUUCCU
ensembl:lncRNA